GCUUUGGAAGCGCUGUCUGAGAGAAAUGUUUAUGUCCAGGGAGUUGGUAACGAGGAUCCAUUACCCUAAUUAGCUGCUUGAAUCCUUCAUUUUCGACCGUGUUUAUUGGUAGCAUGUCUUUAGCAAGACAGUAAGCUAUGGCAUUCGUUAUGUCGCUAUGUCUCUUAGCUUUUUUGUCAUAUGGUAAGACGCUAGAGAAAGCCGACUCAAUUGCAAUACAUAUCGUUAUCGUUCUAUCGCCCAGCUCUACUGGCAUGACCAGCUCUGAGAAGGAGACAGUGCCCUUGACAGAGAAGAUUUAUCCAGCUCAAGCUAAGGGUUUGGUGGAAAAAUGGUUGGUCAGCCGUCCUAUUUUUCACUGGGAUAUGUAAAAAGUAUGAGGAAAUUACGAAGAUGGUCAGAGGCACCACAGAAACUUCACAAGAGUUGGUGUCUCUUAACCAGUAAAUUAAAACACCAGGAUGUGACCAGUCACAAGCUGUACAUGGGUCAACCAACCGUCUCAGCUUCCUCUUGGAUUAUGCCACUCUGACUUGUCGCCACCGACCGUCAGAUAUGGGCACCAUGUGUAACAGGGAAGCCCAGGCACUAUUCGAACACUACACAAUGCCCAGGCGCUCCAUGGUCACAAACUCCUCCCGAGCGACAGACAAUUUGGCGGGGUAAAGGCGGCUUACAGGUGCCCGACCGUAGUGAUAUAAAUGGUUGUUGCAGGUGGAGAACCCGAUGCUCAGAAGUGUUCAGCAUGUCAUCCAUCAAGGAGUCAUUCAGUAUGCUGAGAUUACCCAGAAGAAGUGGGUGUUGCAGUGGCCUGGCCAAGUUCUUAUUUGUGCCUCUUCUAUAUAUUAGACCAGCCAAGUGUCUGAAGCCAUCCAGACCAACCCUCUGCCUGCCUAUGUGGAGAAGUGCAAUGCCCAGAUUGCUGACAUUGUGGAGCUGCUUGACGUGCAAUGCUAUGAUAAAAAGAGGACGCAGC
ensembl:lncRNA